UACAGAGGGUGCAAGCGUUGUUCGGAAUCAUUGGGCGUAAAGCGCACGUAGGCGGUUCGUUAUGUCGGAUGUGAAAGCCCUUGGCUUAACCGAGGAAGUGCAUCCGAAACUGGCGAGCUAGAGUACGAAAGAGGAUCGCGGAAUUCCCGGUGUAGAGGUGAAAUUCGUAGAUAUCGGGAGGAACACCGGUGGCGAAGGCGGCGAUCUGGGUCGAUACUGACGCUGAGGUGCGAAAGCGUGGGGAGCAAACAGG
rnacentral:rRNA from 1 species